GCCUCGCCACCGAAUAGCCUUCCCAGACAGGACGUACACAAGUGCCGCCAGAAAGUAGUACGUGACAAGGACGAAACGUCUAGUUAAAAGUGUUAGCUUUUAAACUAUCCAGAUUUUGCUACAUCUGUGCAGAUAAAAACUUUAAUUGUGCUUGUGUCAUUAUACAUAUCGUAACAGCUUAACAGUCCCGUCGCGGAUGGAUAUAGACCGAAUUUCUCGUCGCACGACCGCACCCAGGUUCAGUUUGAGAAGAAGGGCGGUGGUGUGAGCUACUGAGAUGAACAUCAAACACCGUGGAUCAGCUGUGAGAUGAGGACCAUCCACAUAGAACACAGCUGUGUCCACGCAAGACAUGAAAUACCAUUAGAAACCGCAUAUUUCUGCAGCAAAGCGCGCUUUUUAAUAUCUGACCUGCGCU